UUUAUUUUUCCGUAUUCAACAUUUAACUAUUCGUUUUAUUUGAAAUUUUUUAUGAUUAAUAUUUUUAUUAUUAUUAGAUGACAAAAUAUGAAUAGUACUUUAUACGUGAUUAAUUUUUUAAAGUUUUUUUUAUAAAUUUUUUAAAUAAUACGAAUGGUCAAACGUUAAAUAUGAAAAA
rnacentral:pre_miRNA from 1 species